rnacentral:snRNA from 1 species
UCCGAAUUUUUUUCCGGCU